rnacentral:rRNA from 1 species
GUACGUGAAACUGCUUAGAGGUUAAGCCCGAUGAACCUGAAUAUCCAUUAUGGAAAAUUCAUCAUUAAUAAUGUGGUAUUAAUAAUAUCAUAUAAAUAGUGUGCAAUUUUUCCAUAUAAGGACAUUGUAAUCUGUUAAUGUCAUAAAUAUUUAUUAAAAGAUCCUUUGCUCCAGUUUAUUUAAAUUAGUUAUUUUCGGAUUUCUAACAUAGAAUAAAGGCAUUGGAUUUGAUAAAUCAUUGACAGAUAUAAUUAUAUAAUGUGCUUAAAUUCUCCGGAAUUUUACAAUGAUGAGUAAUUCUUUUGAAUUAUUUGUUUAUAUUGUAUGCACUAUUAUGAUUAACAAUGCGAUAGAUUCAGGAUACCUUCGGGACCCGUCUUGAAACACGGACCAAGGAGUCUAACAUAUGUGCAAGUCAUUGGGUGUAAAACCUAAUGGCAUAAUUAACUUAACUGUUUAUAUGGGAUUAGUUUAUAUUUUAUAAUGGAAUAUGAAUUCAAUCCCGGGGCGUUCUAUACAGUUAUGUAUAAUAAUAUUUAUAUUAUUUAUGCCUCUAACUAGAGCGUACCUUGAGC